GGCUGGAGGAGAGUCACACAGAUACUACAGAGUCCUGCCUUUAAGGAUGAGUUGGAGGGGCUGAUUGAGGAGCAGAAGAAGAAAGGCAACAACCCCACUGGUCUCCUGGCCCUCCGACAGAUCGCUGACUUCUUCAUGUCUUCAUCCGUGGCUGGCUUCAGCACCUCACCCCUAAGCCUUGGAAUGGUCACUCCCAUCAACGACAUGUAUGGAGUGGAGUCUACCACUCUGGUGAAGGGGGAGAAGCACACACGCUGCAAGCUGGCCAGCCUCUACAGACUGGUGGACCUGUUCAGCUGGGCACACUUUGCCAGCUCCUACAUCACAGUAAGACAACCACUAGAAAACCUUUUUAAAACCUUUAUUAGAACCUGUUCAGCUGGGCACACUUCGCCGCUCCUACAUCACAGUAAGAAAUAAACCUUGCACUAACCUCAUUCAUAACUGUCAUAACGUGUCUUAACUCAUCAUAAACCUUUCUGUAGAACUGUGUUUUGAGACAAUACUGCAAGCAGUAUGUGUCAUCUGAGUUCUGUCUAUCCCUGCCUACAGGACUACCCCCCGGUGUGUUUUCAGGACACAUACAACUGUGUGCCCGUCCUUUUGUUUGGGAGCAGUGUGUUUGGCAUCAGGUUCCUAAAGUUUUGUUUGUGUCAGCAGCAGCAGCACUGUGUGUUUCAAGGUCAUAACAAGGUGUUUUCCGUUGUUGUGUCCAGGUCCGAGCAGCAAAGAGCAGGACCACACUCAUCCAUCAUCCCCAGAGGACUGUCAUUCGCUGAGGCGUCCGCAUCCAACCUGGUAAAGCUGAACAUCAUCGGGGAUGUGAUUGACCAGGGCUCCACCAACCUCAGGUUGACCCGUCAGGCUUCAGCCCCCACGCUGCCAUCUACUCCAUCAGGCCAGACGCUCGCUGCUGCGUCCACGUGCACACUCCUGCCACCGCCGCCGUGAGUCACUUUUCAGUCUGUUUAAUCAUUCAGGAUCUUAGAGGAAGAAAUGUUGUUUAAAUAGGCCUGACUUUUAGACACACAUUGUCCACAUUGUGAUGUUUUCAAGCACACAGUGAUUUAUAAUGCACUGUGUGAUGCUGUAUAUGUCCAUUGCCAGUCUCUCUCUCUGUCUCUCUCUCUGUCUCUCAGUCUCUCUCUCUCUCUCUGUCUCUCUCUGUCUCUGUCUCUCUCUGUCUCUGUCUCUCCAUCCUCCAGUGUCUGAAUAGUUCUCACAUCUCCUCUCCCUCCUUGUCUCUCCAGUGGUCGUCUAUGAAGUGUGGCAUCCUGCCCAUCUCUCAGGAGGCCUUGAUCCUGGGUGACAUCGCAUACUACAACUACCAGGGUAGCCUUGACGACCAGAGGAACGCCUGGCGCUGCAGAAGGCCCUCGGACCCUCAGCCAGGUAAGAUCUAGGAUCAAAUUACCCCACCCCAAAACGUGAUGUUAAUUGCUAGUUCGGGGGAUG
rnacentral:lncRNA from 1 species